GCGUCUGAAGAAGACAUGGGCAGAAACAAUAUUGAGCUGAAAUGGAUCAUACGAAGAAAGCUGUAUACCACAUCGGGUGACUUUAUUGAAUUUCGGUGUAAAAGAGGGUUUUUGAAGGACCCAGCAUCUUCCCCCUUCAGAGCACAGUGUAUGGAGGGGACGUUAGAAUAUCCACGGUGCAAGCCAGGCAAGAACUGUACAGUGCAUGAGGGGCUUAUGGAAGACAACCAUAUUCAACUACAGUCAUCAAGCUGGUCGAGAACUUCCACCUAUCGCUCUGGGGAUUAUAUUUUCUUUGAAUGCAAGCGAUGGUACCGACAGGCUUCACAGCCUGAGAAAUUUAGGGCAACAUGCCUGGAUGGAGUGAUUCAGUAUCCUACAUGUGCAUAGGCAUUGGGAUAAACGGAAAUGGCAUGAAGGAGCCCAGCUGUGGAAAUGAAAGAUCCCUCAACCAACCCAGUGAUUUGAGCUUAAUUUUUCCUGGCCUUUCCAGUUUCGCUGUGCUUUGUUUGCAGCUUAGCCAACGUUCUGUCUUGGAAUUUGUGGUUUUUUUCUUUUUAUUAUUGGAUGAUUGUGUUUACAUUUUAUCCACAUUUCAUCCUUUUUUGUAAAUGUGUUUACAUUUUAUCCAUCCAAAUGGUUGUGCUUGCAUUUUAUCCAUUCUAUAUUGAUCUCUCUGUUAUUUUUACUAACAACUGUGUCCUGAAAUAGGCUGCCUUUGGUGGCAUACUGAGAGAAGAAUUAAAGCCCGCAGGUAAUUUG